GAUGAACGCUAGCGGCAGGCUUAACACAUGCAAGUCGAGGGGUAGAGGAAGCUUGCUUCCUUGAGACCGGCGCACGGGUGCGUAACGCGUAUGCAAUCUACCUUAUACAGGGGGAUAGCCAGAGAAAUUUGGAUUAAUACCCCAUAGUAUAAUUGAAUGGCAUCAUUUAAUUAUUAAAAGUUCCAACGGUAUAAGAUGAGCAUGCGUCCCAUUAGCUAGUUGGUGUGGUAACGGCACACCAAGGCGACGAUGGGUAGGGGUCCUGAGAGGGAGAUCCCCCACACUGGUACUGAGACACGGACCAGACUCCUACGGGAGGCAGCAGUGAGGAAUAUUGGUCAAUGGGCGCAAGCCUGAACCAGCCAUGCCGCGUGCAGGAUGACGGUCCUAUGGAUUGUAAACUGCUUUUGUACAGGAAGAAACACUCCCUCGUGAGGGAGCUUGACGGUACUGUAAGAAUAAGGAUACGGCUAACUCCGUGCCAGCAGCCG
rnacentral:rRNA from 1 species